AAAACUCAAUCAAUGUGUCUGUGGUCACGUCAAAUCUCACUGCAGAAACACUAAUUUGCACAAAUAAGUUGAGGGGGAGUGUGUGUGUGUGUGUGUAAUGGCGAGUCGACGGGUGUCUUGAGCAAACACAGGGGAGGCGUCUGUGGUUGCGGGGGAGUUUGUGGGAUGUUAUUGGUCGAGCCUUCGUAACUGAAGAAUUGUCGGGUAAUUAGAUCAUCCUGCGCAGAAUAGGAAUCAAUUUCCGACCGGGCAGCGCCGUGGCUUUUCCUAAUGUGAGCCACAUUGGGACCCAUGAUCCAUGGCAAUAAUUCAAACCAGAUGUGAUGUCCCACUCAGGUGGGCCAAGAGCUUCCAUCUGCGGGGCCGAGAUGCUGUGUGGCCACCGUGACCGUGAGAGUUUCUGGGGGUGAAGCUGUGUGCGGUUUUCUGGUCCCUGGUUGGAGGUGUGGACAACUGGUUCUGUAGAAUUUUGUGGAUCUAAACUGGGAAUAAUAUUAUGGAAAAAAUGGACAUCCUGUAGGCUUUUCCAUUUCUUUCAUCGCAUGCACUGACUAAGAUUUCCCCGUCAACAGAAUUAACUAAUAUCACUUGCACAUGUGCUCAUGCAGACUUCUUAAAGUCCUACAUGUAACUGUGGCACCAAGGGUUUCGACUGGUUCUGAACACGGUUUACGUCAUUUUUUGGUGACUGGUUUUGGAUGAAGGUUUCGACAUUACAUAUAAUUCACCUUUAAUAACGAUGAAGAGUAUAAUUUCUGUACCUGCACCGAAUGGAAUUGCAAAUUUUGUCCAAACAUGUUUCCCAAACACAGCCCUGCCAUCUGUACUUGGUCAGACAAACUGGUUAUAUUAAGGGGUCUUCAAAUUUUUGUUUACCUGGACUUUCAAUGGAGGAACAGAUGAACCACACUCUAAUAUGUUUGGAGGGUGAAUGCUAACAGUGCACAUAAAGUCCUGCCAGGUUCUUUUCCAGGCAAAGCUGAACCCAAAACCCUUAAAGUGACUGCUGGAAAGAUUGAGGAAAGAGUGAAGGAAAGAAGGACGAGGAGAGAGAGGGAAGUCUGAACACAGGAGCACGUAUUCUCCAGAUGAGAGUGAAAAUGAAAACCACCUGGGCUGAAUUCCCACGUGACAUGUCCAAUGAAGAGGCCUUUAGCCCUCAAGAGUUGCAAUGCUGGACGGUGAAUUUACUUACCCUUAAAAAAAUGUGGAAAGCAUCCAGAUUGUAGAGCCUCGGAAGGCCGUUAAUGUCCGCAACACUCAUAAUUGUCUUGGCACGGUGCAUUUAGCAUUAGACAACAUGUGUUAGGCAAUUAAACUCAAUUGUUCAAUUUGCUCAACACAAACAUUGAAUGUAAAUACACCUCAUUUCAUGCCUAAAGUGUUGAGACUAGCUCUGAACCAUUUAUACUUAAUGUUUUCGCAGUGUAGGAAUAGUCAUGUUCGUGCAUUAAUGCUUGCACUCGAGCAGGUCGUGAAUAACAUACUUUUAUUUCAUCACAAGUAUGCGGAAACAGAAUUUAACACGGAUAUUUAGGCCGAUACGGCACUUUUUGAAGCCGCGGCUCAGUGGAGUGAGUCAAGCUGGUCACGACGCUGAUGAUAAUAUCAAGUUUGCUCUUGGCUUGCUUUCAUCAGGUCUUAAAUCAUACGCAUAUGUGGUACACCCAUAGACCUACAGUACGAACCCGAGCACUUACGCACAUGAGCACAGAUGCUAUAAUCAGAUACUCAGAGCAGACCUGGUUGGUAAUGUAUCGUACUGCCUAAGGAGAUCGUAAAAACGCAACAGGUUAUAUGUCGAAGUGCAGUUUCCAUCCCUAAGAGCAGUUCAGGAACUGUAUUGAAGGACAUUGGACAGAAAGGGUAUUAGUGCAUGAUUUUUCCUAAGCAUGUGGAAAGUCGGUUUUCUGUGCCUUUGGGGUUCUGGAAGCUGUCCAAUAGCGAUAGGCCUGUCUUACACAGCUGAAUCAUAAUACAUAUUCAUUUCGGUGGCCAUAUUAACAUGUUUUAGUAAUAGCAUAAACACCAAAAAAAAUGGGCUGGGCGAUAAAACGAUAACGAUAAUUAUUGCGAUAUAAUUAUCUUCGAUAAAUUGAUAAGAGUUUGAUAUAUGUUCGAUAUGUUUAUGCGGCAACAGCAGAACGAAACCGUGCUACUCAUUUCAAUCACGCCACAUGGACCGCAUAUCUAUUUGUCUGCUUAAGCGCUUGAAUUCAACGAUGAACACAAAUAAGUCGCUGAUUUAAACUGGUUUAAAACCAACAAACAGGAGAAACUCUGUGUGCAACGAUACAGUCAGAAGGCUUUUCAGUCUACAAAUUGCCAUCAUUUACCAUGGAUUUACUGUAGUAACACUAACUGCUCAAUGGUAUUGUGGCAGAAAUGUGGGAUAUACAGUAUAACGAUUUAUUAUAUUAUUAAUGUAGACAUUAAAUGUAUUAAAAGAUGUAAUGGAAUACUGCAGUAUACAGUAUUUUUCAGUUAGUGUUUGUGCAUUUAUACUAAAUGUAUUUAGACUACUGUUUUUUAUUCAAAUAC